rnacentral:lncRNA from 1 species
AAAAAAAAUAUCUAUUUUUGUGGGAAUUUAAAUCAGUGUGGCUACUAUGGACCUCUAUAGGGAGUUUCCUCAAAAACUAAAUGUAUAACUACCAUAUGAUCCAACUAUAUUACUCCUAAACAUAUAGCCCAAGGAAUCCUAGGUGGCCUACAAGAAGAGAUGCCUACACAGCAAUACUUGAUGCAAUACCAUUUACAAUAACCAUCCUAUACAAUAGUUUAGGUGACCAUAAGCAGGUAAAGAAUGCCUUGUGAUGUGUAAAGAAACACUGUUAUGAAGAAAAUUAAAAAUCAUAUUGUUUGCUGAAAAAAAUCCUGGGGAGUAUGAUAUUAAGUUAAAUACGCCAGACCCAGAAAGUCAAGUAUUGACUGUUUUCUUUCAUAUGUGAGAUCUAGACAGUUUUUUAAAUUUCCAUAGCAGUAAAAGGGGAACAAUUAGGGAGGAUAUUAGGAUAAUAGGAGAAUGAAUAUGAUCAAGUGUGUUUUAUAGAUACAUGAAGAUGUUGCCAUAGAACUAAUUAUUUUAUCUAAGAAAUACAUGCUUAUAAAAAAAAUCAGUCCUACGGUAAAUGGUGGAUGGACAUAAGAGUGGAAAUGUCUUAUGCUACUGUAAUAUUACAAAUGUUAAUGCAUGUUGGUAUACUGUGGCUAAUCAACUUUAAUAACCAUUGCCAUAAUAAACUGUCUGAAUGGCAUUUUUAGAAAUCAGUUAUUUUGUAGACAUACAGAUGUGAUAGGUUAUUUAUUUAAAAUCCCAAAGUUUUCUUUCUAAUGUGUAAAGUGUAUUUUCAUCUGCUGAGUCUGACAAUUUCACUCCUGUCGUAGACUGGAUAAGAAUGGCUUCAAUAGGUUCAUGUUUGAAUACUUGGUCCCCAGUUGAUGAAAAGUUAUUUGAAAAGGUAUAGGAGGCGUGUCCUUGUUGGAGGAGGGGUAUCCCUGCAGGAAGAAUUUAAGGUUUCAAAAGACUUUGACCAUCCCCACUGUUAUCUCUGCCUCCUACUUGCAGAUCAUGAACUCUCAGCUGUUGCUAUCAGACUUUGGUUUCAUCAUCAUGGAUUCUUAUCCCUCUGAAACUGUUAAGCCCAAUUAAAUGCUUUAUUUUAUAAGUUCCCUUGAUAAUGGUAUUUUAUCAUAGCAAUAGAAAAGUAACUCAGACAGCUCCUAAAUACUCAUAUCCAAACACUAUAAAUACUUUCUUAUAGGAUAAAAUAACACAUUUUAUGUUCUGAUUUCAAAAUCAACAAACUAAUUUAUACAAAAUAUAAAUGACCCUUUCCCCUACUACCAAAAUUACUUUGCAAUUGUCCACUAAUUUCUCCUCUUCUUAAAACCAUACAUUAAUAUUGACUAAAAAUGGCUCAUGACCUCUAUUUUUAACUAUUAUACUCCAAUGUAUUCAAUUCCCAGCAACCACGUGGUGGCUCAAAACCAUCUGUAAUGAGAUCAGAUUUCCUCUCUGGUGUGUCUGAAGACAGCUACAGUGUACUCACAUACAAUAAAUAAAAUAAAUCUUUUGUUUUUUAAAAAAGAUGAUGACUAGAUCACAGAAUCCUUGGAAUUAAGAAAACAUUUUGAGAUGCUUUGAAUUUGCAUGGCUAGCCUGAAGAAAUGAUCUGUUAGCACAUCUACAAAGAAAACAUAAUGUUGUCUAUUUAGAAGGAGUACUAAUUUAACAGACAGAUCUGUCAGUUCAUUACUGUGUAAAAUAUCCUUGGCAUUAGCAUAUAGAAUGCUACAAGUACCACUUACCACUUCUAGAUUCAGGUCAUAGGAAAAUGACUAUCUAGAAAGUUUGUAAAAUAUAUUAAAGAGUAUUUGACUGGAAGCUUUGGUCUUUGGUAACAUGAGAAUGCCUUUCUUGUACAAGAGAAAAACACUUACUUAAUUUGAUGUUCAGUUCCUUGCAUGUGGGACCGGAACAUAUGUAAAGAUGUAAAGGUGAUACUGCAGAUAUGGCAUACGUAGGUUCUCAUUCUAUAUGCUAUAAAAUGAGAGAAUUUAAAAACAUCAAUAUGGAAACUCUUCAAAUCAGAUACUGUCAGUGAUAGAUAAGAAUUUAUUAGAAACCCUCUACCUGAAGCUUUUCAAGAAAAAUUGGUCCCAAAAGAUAAAAUAAUUUGCUGGUGGUGAUGGGAGCAAAGAGUAGAGUUAGCAUCUUGGAGCUCAAGUCUCUAAAUUUAAUGCCUAGAAUUCUUCACACUUACACUACAGGCAUAGUCUUUGUUUAUUUCUUAAUCAUCUGCUACCUGCGUUGCUCACUGUUGCUAUAUAUACUGUAUAGCAGGGACCUCAAACGACGUGGCUAACAAACGUAUUAUUCCUAGUUCUGCAACACCCUUUUUGUUUGCUGUUAAUUAUUUUUCUACCCAACCAAACCAUGAAAUGUCCCAUAACUUUAAUUUAAAAAUUGUAAAAUUUUACUUUUCAACCUAUAAUCACUGUAGUUCACUAAUUAUAAAAAUGAUUUCCACAAAUUUUAGAAUAAAGAACCAGUGAGGCCCACACAUAGGUUAGAACAUAAAAGUAAAAUUCUAAAAUAAUAGUUGCUGUUUAAAAUGAGUUAAAUUAAAAGCUAUAAAAAAGAAGCUGUAUAACUGCUACCUAACUAUUCUGCCUUUACAGUGGAAUUAGAAGCAGGACAUAAACUUAUUUCUAAAGCUCAUCAUCCUUCCACAUUUUUCUUGGUAGGAAGGAGGAGGAGGGCCGAGCGUGGUGGCACAUGCCUUUAAUCCCAGCACUCGGGAGGCAGAGGCAGGCGGAUUUCUGAGUUCGAGGUCAGCCUGGUCUACAGAGUGAGUUUCAGGACAGCCAGGGCUACACAGAGAAACUCUGUCUCG